rnacentral:rRNA from 1 species
UACGUAGGGGGCUAGCGUUGUCCGGAAUCAUUGGGCGUAAAGCGCGUGUAGGCGGUCCGGUAAGUCCGCUGUGAAAGUCGAGGGCUCAACCCUCGAAUGCCGGUGGAUACUGUCGGGCUUGAGUACGGGAGAGGCGAGUGGAAUUCCUGGUGUAGCGGUGAAAUGCGCAGAUAUCAGGAGGAACACCGAUUGCGAAGGCAGCUCGCUAAGCCAUAACUGACGCUGAUGCACGAAAGCGUGGGGAGCAAACAGG